rnacentral:rRNA from 1 species
AAUGACGGAGCGGCGAACGGGUGAGUAACACGUGGGCAACCUGCCCCUAGCUCUGGGACAACUCCUCGAAAGAGGGGCUAAUACCGGAUACGACCUCGGACGACAUCUUCUGAGGUGGAAAGUUUUUCGGCUAGGGAUGGGCCCGCGGCCUAUCAGCUUGUUGGUGGGGUAACGGCCCACCAAGGCGACGACGGGUAGCCGGCCUGAGAGGGCGACCGGCCACACUGGGACUGAGACACGGCCCAG